UCCUUGCGCUGAUGGUACUGCCCUGUUGUGGGGUGGGAGAGUAGGUCGCUGCCACGG
rnacentral:rRNA from 1 species